rnacentral:rRNA from 1 species
AAGUCGAGCGAACGGAUAAGGAGCUUGCUCCUUUGAAGUUAGCGGCGGACGGGUGAGUAACACGUGGGUAACCUACCUAUAAGACUGGAAUAACUUCGGGAAACCGGAGCUAAUGCCGGAUAACAUAUAGAACCGCAUGGUUCUAUAGUGAAAGAUGGUUUUGCUAUCACUUAUAGAUGGACCCGCGCCGUAUUAGCUAGUUGGUAAGGUAAUGGCUUACCAAGGCGACGAUACGUAGCCGACCUGAGAGGGUGAUCGGCCACACUGGAACUGAGACACGGUCCAGACUCCUACGGGAGGCAGCAGUAGGGAAUCUUCCGCAAUGGGCGAAAGCCUGACGGAGCAACGCCGCGUGAGUGAUGAAGGUUUUCGGAUCGUAAAACUCUGUUAUUAGGGAAGAACAAAUGCGUAAGUAACUGUGCGCAUCUUGACGGUACCUAAUCAGAAAGCCACGGCUAACUACGUGCCAGCAGCCGCGGUAAUACGUAGGUGGCAAGCGUUAUCCGGAAUUAUUGGGCGUAAAGCGCGCGUAGGCGGUUUCUUAAGUCUGAUGUGAAAGCCCACGGCUCAACCGUGGAGGGUCAUUGGAAACUGGGAAACUUGAGUGCAGAAGAGGAAAGUGGAAUUCCAUGUGUAGCGGUGAAAUGCGCAGAGAUAUGGAGGAACACCAGUGGCGAAAGCGACUUUCUGGUCUGUAACUGACGCUGAUGUGCGAAAGCGUGGGGAUCAAACAGGAUUAGAUACCCUGGUAGUCCACGCCGUAACGAUGA